GUUACUUCGACAGUUCUUUAAUUGAAACAAGCAACCUGUCUGGGUUGUUCGAGACCCGCGGGCGCUCUCCAGUCCUUUUACCUCUCUGGGCGGUUCGAGACCCGCGGGAGCUCUCCAGUCCUUUUCACUGCUGAAGUUCAGCUCCCUUUCCAUGGUAAAAGGAAUCAGGGCUCCUCGGAGAAAUGGCUGAUUUUAGUACUGGGCAGGAAAUAUAGAAAUGGACGUGGAGCAUCUCAUAGAGCUAGAAAGUACUAACCAGGCCUGACCCUACUUAGCUUCCAAGAUCAGAGGAGACCGGGCACGUUCAAGAUGACUUGGAACUGAAGAAGCUGGCAAUCUGGAAAUGCCAAUGGACGCAGAUUUUAAAAGCCCCAGCAAAAGUCUGCUUUCUCUAUUCAUAGGACCAGGAUCAGGAAGAGGACAGCUUAGAAAGACAUAAAAUUCUUAGACAAUAACUGUUCUACCCCAGCCAAACACCAAACACACACACACACACACACACACACACACUCCAACAACUAUGGCCCCACCCACUUCAGCAAAGGCUGAGUAGGAGCCUAAACUUCCACCACUGAGCGGCUAUAAGAAGUUACCCCAAGACCCCACCAACGUGGUGUUAAAGAAGGCCAAAUAGGGGACAAAAUUUUUAUCCAUGCUGACCAGUUAUGAGGUUCCCUUUUUCCCUCUGUGAAAUAAAAAUAAAGCCCGUAGGUCCCCAGGCAAGAUGAAAUGGACUCCUUGUUGCAAAAGAGACCCCAGAAAACUUUAAAAGCUGGAUUCUAUGGCUUUGGCAAGUGGGAGACCCUUCACAUGUUUCCUGUGGUGUUUUUACAAGUAUUCCCAUAAUUUUUGAGCAGUUUCUUACUUUCUGAAGAAAAAACAGAUAUUCGUUUCUUCUUGCACUUUUGUCACCACUAU
rnacentral:lncRNA from 1 species